GCAUUCACUCACCUGCAGCCAUUAUUAUCUAUAAUCUAAAGCGCCAUUGGCGCGUUACUGUUCAGCCCGAAGUAAAUGACUCUUUUGCCCUUAAUUUUUUAUUAAAUUACAUCCCUGCCAUUCAGUCUGUUAUAAACACCCGCCGACAGUAGAAUGCUAGAACUCCAGAAGAUUCAGGUUUUUUCGCUCUCUCGCUUCUCCUUAUCAACUUGACGGUGGAGCAGAUAUUUAGCAACUGGAGGGUUUGAUUAGAUACGCGGCAAGGAAUAUUGAUUUCUGUGGCAAAGGGAUUGAUUUCCGUCUCAAAUCAAUAUUCCGUCUCUAACCUGCAUUUGAUCACUCGGCACGAGGUUAUUGAGCUUCCUCGAAGAGAGACAAAGCUCGAGCUUUCUGGAGAUCGGAGGCAAAUCCCUAAAGCAUAGAGUCGUUGCCCAGUCAAUCCAAUUGAAUCCGAUAAUUUCAAGCUUGGAUUCCAAAGUUUGAACCUUUAAUCCGGUAAUUCUCUCACCUAAUUCUCAGGUCUGAUUGCAUCCGACUCUGAAUAUUGUCUCGACUCGAGUUCCUCUGGGCUCGGUUAUUCUGCACCUUUUGGCCCUUCACGCUGUUUGCGCGCCUGCCAUUUGCCUGUAGCCUAACCGGUGCUUCGCUGUUCUAUUACUUGAGUUGGAGCUCAAAAGUUGCAUAUAUUCAAGAAGUCGUGAAGACCAAGUUUUGUAAACUCCUAGAGACAGAGGUAUGGGAGUUCAGGGAUUGUGUUCCAAGAUUGGUAUUCUCGGUUUCUAUAUGUUCUCUGUCAAAAAAGAAGUUCAAAUAUAUUUUCUGCUCAAGAGUUUCAAACUAGGUGUUGCUUAAUUUAUUUGUUUUUCGGGUAUCGUUGGUAGAUCUGGAAUUUUUCUUCGAAAUUGGUGUGGAAAAGUGCUAACUUGAAGAUUAUAGUCUCUGAAAUUUGUUUACUUGGCUCUUGGGGCAGCUGCUACAACAUUUCUAUUCAUUUACUUCAGCAUUCCUUGCUCCCUGCAAUACUUGAUGCUGUGAUAGAAUGCUUUAAUAGAAUGUUAUGGUAAAUUGUAAUAAUUAAACUCAAAACAAUUUUAGAGAGACAAAAUUUUGUCUCUUAUAUUAUCACUUUGAUUAUGAAACAAGUCAUUUUCAUUCA